UGGGGAAUUUUGGACAAUGGGCGAAAGCCUGAUCCAGCAAUGCCGCGUGUGUGAAGAAGGCCUUCGGGUUGUAAAGCACUUUUGUCCGGAAAGAAAUCCUUGGCUCUAAUACAGUCGGGGGAUGACGGUACCGGAAGAAUAAGCACCGGCUAACUACGUGCCAGCAGCCGCGGUAAUACGUAGGGUGCAAGCGUUAAUCGGAAUUACUGGGCGUAAAGCGUGCGCAGGCGGUUUGCUAAGACCGAUGUGAAAUCCCCGGGCUCAACCUGGGAACUGCAUUGGUGACUGGCAGGCUAGAGUAUGGCAGAGGGGGUAGAAUUCCACGUGUAGCAGUGAAAUGCGUAGAGAUGUGGAGGAAUACCGAUGGCGAAGGCAGCCCCCUGGGCCAAAUACUGACGCUCAUGCACGAAAGCGUGGGGAGCAAACAGGAUUAGAUACCCUGGUAGUCCACGCCCUAAAACGAUGUCAACUAGUUGUUGGGGAUUCAUUUCCUUAGUAACGUAGCUAACGCGUGAAGUUGACCGCCUGGGGAGUACGGUCGCAAGAUUAAAACUCAAAUGAAUUGACGGGGUCAUAGCUG
rnacentral:rRNA from 1 species